GGGAAACAUUGUGAAAGUUACCCAAAGAGAAGAAAAUGUGUUUAUGAUGAAGUUGCUGUCAUCCAGAAACUUAUAAUCAAGUUGUGUGCCUACUGGACACAAAAUUUAAAGCCUCUACGAAUUUUCAAAGAAAACAUCAAUGAUUAGGGGGAUAUAAGCAAAUGUUUUUAUGGUCCUUGAAGAAGUUUCACAUCAAACAUGUAACACAGCAAAUGAUCCUGAAAACAAACAAACAAAUUAAAAACAAACCUCACCUCA